rnacentral:rRNA from 1 species
AUGCUGCUACAGGAGGGAGAGGCUACCAAAAUAAUUAUGCUAACAGAGGGGAGAAUUUUUCAGAGAAGUGGGCAAGACAGAGAUAUCUCUUAUCCAAGAAAUGCUGUAGAUGGUGGGAGAAUGGCAGUGGGUGGAAGCACAAACAGCAUAUGCAACAAAUGCAAGAACACUGGUCAUGCCACUAUGGAUUGUAUGCUGGGACACUGUGUGAUUUGUGGAAAGAAAACUCACACCACUGAUGAUUGCAAUUGGCUGAAGCAGAUGAAACCAGUUCCUAAGUAUGUUGGCUAUGCUGCAAAAGGGUUGUGUGUGUUGUUAGUCCAAAGUUCUAAAGAAAUUCUGGAAGUGGAAAAUCCCAACCCCAUGGCUCUGGUGACCGUGGUUUCAGGAGAGGUGAAUAAGACUCAGUUAAUUGAUAGAAUGCACUACAUGUUUAAUUGGAACUAG